rnacentral:rRNA from 1 species
UACAGAGGGGGCAAGCGUUGUUCGGAAUUACUGGGCGUAAAGGGCUCGUAGGCGGCCAACUAAGUCAGACGUGAAAUCCCUCGGCUUAACCGGGGAACUGCGUCUGAUACUGGAUGGCUAGAGGUUGGGAGAGGGAUGCGGAAUUCCAGGUGUAGCGGUGAAAUGCGUAGAUAUCUGGAGGAACACCGGUGGCGAAGGCGGCAUCCUGGACCAAUUCUGACGCUGAGGAGCGAAAGCCAGGGGAGCAAAGCGGG